rnacentral:lncRNA from 1 species
CCCUCCCCAGCCUUUAGUGUGUUAAGAAGCUGGCCCCUUUGGAUCUAGGUUGAGAUGGAAGACAGAGCGGGCUGUUUGCAUGGUUGCUAAUAGGUGCUAUAGACCUUACAGACAAAGGGGCUUCCAGACACAGGACCUUCUGUGAUUUUUUUUUCAUUGUACCAGUCUUCUGACACAUAUGGACUUAUAACGGCUGCUUACAGGAUUUCUUUAUUUGCUCUAAUAUAGACUUUGUUUUCCAAUUACAUUGAAUCUUGAUCUUAUCUAAGAGUCAGCAGGCUUUAGAUUUAUUAAGGGUGUUUACCUCGGUCCCUAAUAUUUCAUUUAGAACUGGACGUAAAGUUUACCUUCCUUGACUUUGAAAGUUGAGCUUAAAUUUUGUCUGUUUCAUUCAUCUGUUUAUUCAUUUAGCUGACUUUAAUAAGUACCUCUUACCUGGUCUGUGUUGGUGCUGGGUGGUGGGAGUGUUGCAGAGGGCAAGGGCGAGGUAGACUAGUGACGUCUCUGAGGUCUGUGAAGUCACCCUUUCUGUGUGCAAAUUAGGAUGCUUCUGGCUCAGAGUAACUGAAUGCCGACUUAGUUGACUUAAAGUUUGCAUAAGGAGAUUGAGUAAUUGCCUUUAAAAACUUAAGAAGUCCACAUAGUUAAAGCAAUUGCUAGGGAAGAAGAGUGACUG